GUGAGGGUCAAUUUCACCUGCACGAUUCAUCAAUUCACAUUUUUGUACAGGUCUAAUAGAAAUGUGUAAAACUAUGCUUGACAGUUUAUGACAAAUAGUUCAACAAUUUUGCAUGUAAUGGCGUAAGCAAGGAACCAAUGCCUAGAUGUUUUGAGGGGUAUUACUGGAAAGGGGAGAUUCAAGAUGCGACGGAAAUUCUGAUGUUGGUGAAGACGAGGACCUCGAAGACCCAAAGGCUCAUAGACUAUGUCAAGUCUGUGCAUCCCUAUGAGACUCCAGAGGUGCUUAGUUUCCCUGUGGAGGACGGGAGCCUGCCCUAUUUGAAGUGGGUGGAUGAGGCUGUUCCUGACGACUGACCAGUGAGGGAGAAUAUCCUCAAUGACUUGUG